rnacentral:rRNA from 1 species
UCCCAGACUCCUACGGGAGGCAGCAGUGGGGAAUAUUGCACAAUGGGGGAAACCCUGAUGCAGCGACGCCGCGUGAGCGAUGAAGUAUUUCGGUAUGUAAAGCUCUAUCAGCAGGGAAGAAAAUGACGGUACCUGACUAAGAAGCCCCGGCUAACUACGUGCCAGCAGCCGCGGUAAUACGUAGGGGGCAAGCGUUAUCCGGAUUUACUGGGUGUAAAGGGAGCGCAGGCGGCGCGUUAAGCCUGGUGUGAAAGCCCGCGGCCCAACCGCGGGACUGCAUUGGGAACUGUGUGGCUGGAGUGUCGGAGAGGCAGGCGGAAUUCCUAGUGUAGCGGUGAAAUGCGUAGAUAUUAGGAGGAACACCAGUGGCGAAGGCGGCCUGCUGGACGAUGACUGACGUUGAGGCUCGAAAGCGUGGGGAGCAAACAGGAUUAGAUACCCCCGUACU